GGAACACUGAGGUGUAAAACACCAGUGAAAUAAAGUCCGUCGGGUCGGGGAAGCGUUAGUGAUGAUUGUUAGCAGUUUUAUUCAGCUACUUUCAUACCAAUGUACAUUCGGAUGCAGCCACAGUCUUCGGGUCGGCAUGUAACAGUAAAGCCACAGCAGAACAACAAUAAACAACACAAGCCCACAUGUAUUACCACACUUCAAGUGCCAUCAGCGGUUCAGCUAUCACAUGGGAUGUAUUCUAGGAGUCCAACAUGCUUCGACAGUGGAGUCCUCACCUGCUCAGUACAGGGUCAUCGGUCAAACUAAUUCAUGCAAUAAUCAUUUCUGGGUCUUGUGGGUCUUCUUUCUGGGUUCUGGUGCAUCAGGAACUAGAAGGAAGGAAGUAGAGCCAAAGUGACUGAACCGCUUCAGCAGUGGUCUCUUUGCUUCUUCCUCUCUGGUUGUUAGAACUCGAUCUUGCAGGCUGGGAAGGUUUCGUCCUGCAUGGCCACGGUGCUGUUGGAGCCCAAGACGAUGAUCUCCAGCUCCUUCUGCUGCUCCAGGGUCUGCUGGUACCACUCCUGCAUGCACACUGACUCGAACGUUGGGAUCACCGUCACCUGCAGUUGCACACAAUUAUUAGUGAGGCCAAUAUGCUUAUACCAUGGCAGUGCAAACUCAGAAUCUCUCACCAGAAUUUUAACAAGCUUAUUCAAUAGAAAAUAUAAAUCCCAAUUAAUUGAUAUAUAUACAUAUAUAUAUAAUUUUCAUUAUUUCAGCAUUGAUUUAAUCUUAAAUGUAUAUUUAAAAAUCAACAAUUUUUUUAGGGAUUGUAAUCUGAAUAAAGGGACUGUUUGUCUGAUCUAAUUUAAUCUAACUGUCCAGUUCCCUUAUGAGCCACUUGGGGGCGCUCGUUCACUAUUGACCACGUUUGGUUUCUCGAGUAUAUUUUCUCACCGUUUUUGACUGAACAUUUCCCUUAUGCUUAAGUCUUAUCUAACCUGUAUAGCCUCAGACCAGGCGGACUUCCCCUCCAGCAGGGAGUCAAGAUGGCUCCUGAGAAGCUCCUCCCUUUCUGCACUGUCACCACUGAUGAUGUAGCAGGAGGAGCGAACACAUCUGAAGAAGUCCACAGAGACCGUCGGGGAGGAGGCUCCGGAGGGGAUGUAGGCCAGAUCCACGAACACGCUGAAAUCUUCCGCACACGAGGAGGAUUCUGUAAAGCGAGACGAGAGGCUGUUAACUGCACUCUGGUUCAGCAUGGAUGAAGGAGGCUGACCUGGAGAGGGUGUUUGGUUCUUCCCGAGCCUGGUUUCUGAGGGCCGUCCACAACCUGAAGUGAUGGAGAGUAAACGUGACAUGAAGAGCUAACAUCAAGAAGGAAAACGUACCCCAUUUUUUUUCACUCGGACACUGGUGGACGUCGCUCUCUUCCCGUCCGAGUCAGACAGGGGGACAGGCAUGGUGGUGUCUGGGUGAGGGGGUAGCGGCGGGCUGUCCCUGAGCGGAGCUGGGGGAGGAUCAGGUGGGAGAGCCUGACUGGCUCUCAAGUCACGGGGCGAGUUGGUGGGCUCGCUGCAGGAAUCCUCCUCAUCUGAGUCCAGGACUCCGUCUGCCGUCGUGGAGGGGAAGUCCUCGGUGCAGGGCGGGGCGUUGGUCUCACUGGGGGACAUGUCCUUUUGGUGGUUGUUGUUGCUGCUGUGGAGAUGUGAACCAAAGGCCCCUUUGGAGGCCUCACUGGCUCCACCAGAGUCCAGCGCUUUGAAGUGUUUGAACUCACAGGGAGACACCAGGCACAGGUCCACAUCAUGAGUGGAAGCACCAAAAUGAAGUGAGGCAGGAGCUGGAGGGCGCCCCAUCUCAGGACCUAAAGAGCGCGGUGGCUUCUUAAUGGGCAACACAUAAUGGCCGCCAUUCGAGUGAGAGAGGUGGACGCUGUCUUCAGUCUCUCGGUGGCUCACGGAGGAUGGUCCUUGUUCCAGGGACAUGGAAAGCGACUCGUCCACUUCUGUGGACUGUGGAGAGCUGACCUCCGCCGGCAUCGAGUGCGUCGUGGUCGUAGCCACGGACGGAGACCGAUCUGUGGCGGCUUCUUUCAGCGGACCCAGAGACAAGAAACUGAGGUGCUUCUCUCUCGGAGCAGGGUGACCCUCCGGAGCACUCUUCGGUGGCAGCACGACCUGCCCUUCGCUCUGCUUUGUGGAGGCCUGGUUCACCGUGCUUGACUCGCUGCUCAUCUCUGGCCGACUCAUAGCGCUCCUGUUGCACCACACGUCAUCUGGGGACAGACAGUAGGGGGUGUGGCCGGCACUGUUGGGCCUGGACUCUGGGGACGCCUGCUCCACCGUCCGCUCAUCCGCGCUGGCGUGGUUCUCCGGAGACGACCGUGACGAUGGGUUGCUCCUCAAAGCCCCAUCCAGGAGCGUAUACUCAGUCGGGGUCAAGUCCAGCUGAACUGUCCGGUCACUUUUUGGCACCUUGUUUAAGGGAGAUGGGAAUCCCAUCACUCUGUCUGGCUUGGCAGCGAGUCUCUCCUGCUCCUGACCCUCAGACUGCACCUCUUCAACAUCACCUCUUUUCACCCCUGAACAGAGUGAGACUUCCUCUUUCAUCUUGUCUUCCUUACGUCCCUCUGUGGUUUGCAGCUUCUCCACCUGAGACCCCUCUUCUCCAGAGGCUCCCUCCUUGAGUUUCGGGAUGUCACCUGUCAUGUCUUUAGGUGUUGCAGAGACGGAAGGUGUUCCCUGGGAUCCUCUUCCAGCUUUGAGACUCUCCUGCUCCGAGUCUUCACUCGUCUUCCCUCUCUUUGUAGCGUCAUUAGUCUUUGAUGCCUUUUUAUCGCGGCUUGCCUCAGUCCCGGACGGCUUCUUCGCUUUCUUCACACCUGCCUUUGAGUCGUUCUUCACUUCUUUUUUCAUCUUAGUUUCGUUUUUUUGUGUGACAGGGGAAGCUUCUUUCUUCGACUGGUGGUUCCUCGCCACUCCGUUUUCCUCUUUCUUCGCGGUGCCUUUCUUUAAAACAUUCUUGUCUGCCGACUUUUGCUUCCUACCACCUUCCUUUGAAGUGUUUUUUUCAGCCCCAUUCAUCAGCUUCCCCUUCUCCUUCACUGGCGUCUCCUUCAGUUUGAGAGUCACUUCUUUGCCUUGCACUCUGCCGCUCUCCUGGCUCUGCAUCUGCUUCCCUUCCAGCUUCUCCAGGUCCUCAGUGGUUACUGUUGGUUUUUGAAGAAAGGGGAGGGUCUUCAGCUUCUCAAGCCCCUGCAGGAGCUUGGCCUGCGGUGUCGUGCCUGGGAACAGCACCCGGACCACCUUCUCCUGGGGACACGCUGGGAGCCACACCAGCAGUGCAGACACCGAGGUCAGGGCGGUGAGAGGGAGAGCCUGGGAACCAGACGCGCCGACAUCCGGCCACUUUUCAACAAAAUUCUGAUACUCCUGGCUGUUUUUGCUCGGGCUCAGGAUGUACAAGUCCAGCUGACCCACUCCCAUCUUUUGGAACAGCGUAACAGGCUCCAUAGGUCCCGUUCGAACCAUGGGCUGUGGCUUGAUGUUCAACUUCUUUAACAGCUGCAGGGUGGAAGCCGCCUGCUCUGAGCUCCUGAGAGUGGUGUCCUUGCCUGAGCAGCGACAAAAAUAUGAAUUAUUAAAAUCCGUCUCUCUGACACUUUACAUCCCGACCCUGUGGAACAUAUGACCACCUACUGUUUUAAUAGGCUGUAUCUCAGACUCCGCCCAUCCAAAUGUCUUUCAGGCCCCGCCCUUGUGAGGAGCUCCGUAACAACAACAUGCGCACACUACACGCUGUCAGCCUGGAAACUACUCACCGAACAUCAGCAUAAAAAAGAUUCGCUUAGCAUGUACAUGUAUUUAUUUUAUUUAUUUAUAUUGUGUGUAUGUGUUCUUUGCACUUGAAAUAGUCAAGUGAAGCAUAUUUGGUUAAAGUCAUUGCAGCCUGGAGCUUUAUUUUUUUAGGCUAAAAACAUAUCAUGUUGUUCCAGAACCAUAAAUCAUUGCGACUUUCACUAUAAUUUUUUAAAAACUGCUGCAACAACCAAAAAAAUCAUCAGACGUUACUCACAUGGUUGUUGUUCCACCUGCAACCUGUUGGGGGCGUUGAAAAACACAACUCCCAGUUCUGGAGAGAUGAGUCUCCUGGAUGGAUCCUCUGGUUGAACAGGAUCGAAGAAGAAACAAAACA